rnacentral:rRNA from 1 species
CGGGGGGGGGGGCAAGCGUUGUUCGGAAUUACUGGGCGUAAAGGGCGCGUAGGCUGGUCCAGCAAGUACCCCCCCGUGAAAUCCCACAGCUCAACUGUGGAAUUGCGAGGGAAACUGUUGGACUUGAGUCCGGGAGAGGAGAGUGGAAUUCCCAGUGUAGCGGUGAAAUGCGUAGAUAUUGGGAGGAACACCGGUGGCGAAGGCGGCUCUCUGGACCGGCACUGACGCUGAGGCGCGAAAGCUAGGGGAGCAAACGGGAUUAGAUACCCCGGUAGUCCUAGCCCUAAACGUUGAGCACUUGGUGUGGCGGGUAUCGACCCCUGCCGUGCCGAAGCUAACGCAUUAAGUGCUCCGCCUGGGGAGUACGGUCGCAAAGGCUG